rnacentral:rRNA from 1 species
AUGAACGCUGGCGGCGUGCCUCAUACCUGCAAGUCGAGCGCACAGACGAGGAGCUUGCUCCUCUGACGUUAGCGGCGGACGGGUGAGUAACACGUGGAUAACCUACCUAUAAGACUGGGAUAACUUCGGGAAACCGGAGCUAAUACCGGAUAAUAUAUUGAACCGCAUGGUUCAAUAGUGAAAGACGGUUUUGCUGUUACUUAUAGAUGGAUCCGCGCCGCAUUAGCUAGUUGGUAAGGUAACGGCUUACCAAGGCAACGAUGCGUAGCCGACCUGAGAGGGUGAUCGGCCACACUGGAACUGAGACACGGUCCAGACUCCUACGGGAGGCAGCAGUAGGGAAUCUUCCGCAAUGGGCGAAAGCUUGACGGAGCAACGCCGCGUGAGUGAUGAAGGUCUUCGGAUCGUAAAACUCUGUUAUUAGGGAAGAACAAAUGUGUAAGUAACUAUGCACGUCUUGACGGUACCUAAUCAGAAAGCCACGGCUAACUACGUG